GUGGAAGGAAGCACAUCAGUGGGACCACAAGCUGAGUGACUCACUUCACUCCAUACAUAUCCCCCAGAAAGGUCUGAGACUAGGCCCAAGAGCAGUCCCUAGCAGGGCCCUCCGAGUCUUGUGGAGAUCUAUUCCCAGAGACCAGGACUCCACAGUGAGGGCAGACUAGGAAGGAGAUGCUGUGGACCUGCCCGUGAAGGGAACGGGUUGGCAAAUGUCUCUCUCGCUGGAACUCACUCUGGCCAAGUAAGAGUGAGUUCAAUGCUGAGGUGAGGCACCCCAACGCAGGGCCUUACAACCCAAUUCAGACUACUUUCCUUCAUAC
rnacentral:RNase_P_RNA from 1 species